UACGAAGGGGACUAGCGUUGCUCGGAAUCACUGGGCGUAAAGCGCACGUAGGCGGGUCGUUAAGUCGGGGUGAAAUCCUGGAGCUCAACUCCAGAACUGCCUUCGAUACUGGCGAUCUUGGAGUCCGGGGAGAGGUGGGUGGAACUGCGAGUGUAGAGGUGAAAUUCGUAGAUAUUCGCAAGAACACCGGUGGCGAAGGCGGGUCUCUGGGCCGAUGACUGACGCUGGAGGAGCGAAAGCGUGGGGAGCGAACAGG
rnacentral:rRNA from 1 species